AGAGUUUGAUCAUGGCUCAGAACGAACGCUGGCGGCGUGGAUAAGACAUGCAAGUCGAACGGGGCUAAAUGGGUUAGCAAUAACUCGUUUAGUUCAGUGGCGCACGGGUGCAUAACACGUGGGAAUCUACCAAAAAGUUGGGGAUAGCUCGCCGAAAGGCGAAUUAAUACCGAAUGUGGUCGCAAGACCAAAGCAGGGGACCGUAAGGCCUUGCGCUUUUUGAUGAGCCCGCGGCCUAUCAGCUUGUUGGUGAGGUAAUGGCUCACCAAGGCUAUGACGGGUAGCUGGUCUGAGAGGACGACCAGCCACACUGGGACUGAGACACGGCCCAGACACCUACGGGUGGCAGCAGUCGAGAAUCUUUCACAAUGGGGGAAACCCUGAUGGAGCGACGCCGCGUGGAGGAUGAAGGUUUUCGGAUUGUAAACUCCUGUCACCGCAGAACAAGGGCAGACGGCUAACACCCGCUCUGUUUGAUGGUAUGCGGAGAGGAAGGGACGGCUAACUCUGUGCCAGCCGCCGCGGUAAUUC
rnacentral:rRNA from 1 species